GCAUAACGCGAAGAACCUUACCAAGGCUUGACAUCCUCUGACAGGUGUGGAAACACAUUUUCCCUUCGGGGCAGAGAGACAGGUGGUGCAUGGUUGUCGUCAGCUCGUGUCGUGAGAUGUUCGGUUAAGUCCGGCAACGAGCGCAACCCUUAUGGACAGUUGCCAAUAUUAAGUUAGGAACUCUGUUCAGACUGCCGUGGAUAAACACGGAGGAAGGUGGGGAUGACGUCAAAUCAUCAUGCCCCUUACGCCUUGGGCUACACACGUGCUACAAUGGGCACUACAAAGAGCAGCAAGCUGGUGACAGUGAGCGAAUCUCAAAAAGGUGCUCUCAGUUCAGAUUGUGGGCUGCAACCCGCCCACAUGAAGAAGGAGUUGCUAGUAAUUCCGAAUCAGAAUGUCGGGGUGAAUGCGUUCCCGGGUCUUGUACACACCG
rnacentral:rRNA from 1 species